AGCUUUUUGAAUCCAUGCCGAGAUUUCGUCAGACACCAACCCAUCGGGACUAAUGAAACUCUCAUGAUAAGCGGACG
rnacentral:pre_miRNA from 1 species